AAUGAACGUUGGCGGCGUGGAUUAGGCAUGCAAGUCGAGCGAGAAGUUUCCUUCGGGAGACGGACAGCGGCGAAAGGGAGAGGAAUACGUAGAAAUCUACCCUCGAGACCGGGAUAGCGUCGGGAAACUGGCAGUAAUACCGGAUAAUGUCUUCGGACCAAAGGUGUGAUUCCACUCGGGGAUGAGUCUACGCCCUAUUAGCUAGUUGGUGGGGUAAUGGCCUACCAAGGCGAUGAUGGGUAGCGGGUGUGAGAGCAUGACCCGCCUCACUGGGACUGAGAACUGCCCAGACACCUACGGGUGGCAG
rnacentral:rRNA from 1 species